GAGUCAGAACAUGGGUGAUAAGGUCCGUGUUCGAAAGGGAAACAGCCCAGACCACCAGCUAAGGUCCCAAAAUAUAUGUUAAGUGGAAAAGGAUGUGGCGUUGCCCAGACAACUAGGAUGUUGGCUUAGAAGCAGCCAUCAUUUAAAGAGUGCGUAAUAGCUCACUAGUCGAGUGACACUGCGCCGAAAAUGUACCGGGGCUAAACAUAUUACCGAAGCUGUGGAUUGUCCUUUGGACAAUGGUAGGAGAGCGUUCUAAGGGCGUUGAAGCAUGAUCGUAAGGACAUGUGGAGCGCUUAGAAGUGAGAAUGCCGGUGUGAGUAGCGAAAGACGGGUGAGAAUCCCGUCCACCGAUUGACUAAGGUUUCCAGAGGAAGGCUCGUCCGCUCUGGGUUAGUCGGGUCCUAAGCUGAGGCCGACAGGCGUAGGCGAUGGAUAACAGGUUGAUAUUCCUGUACCACCUAUAAUCGUUUUAAUCGAUGGGGGGACGCAGUAGGAUAGGCGAAGCGUGCGAUUGGAUUGCACGUCUAAGCAGUAAGGCUGAGUAUUAGGCAAAUCCGGUACUCGUUAAGGCUGAGCUGUGAUGGGGAGAAGACAUUGUGUCUUCGAGUCGUUGAUUUCACACUGCCGAGAAAAGCCUCUAGAUAGAAAAUAGGUGCCCGUACCGCAAACCGACACAGGUAGUCAAGAUGAGAAUUCUAAGGUGAGCGAGCGAACUCUCGUUAAGGAACUCGGCAAAAUGACCCCGUAACUUCGGGAGAAGGGGUGCUCUUUAGGGUUAACGCCCAGAAGAGCCGCAGUGAAUAGGCCCAAGCGACUGUUUAUCAAAAACACAGGUCUCUGCUAAACCGUAAGGUGAUGUAUAGGGGCUGACGCCUGCCCGGUGCUGGAAGGUUAAGAGGAGUGGUUAGCUUCUGCGAAGCUACGAAUCGAAGCCCCAGUAAACGGCGGCCGUAACUAUAACGGUCCUAAGGUAGCGAAAUUCCUUGUCGGGUAAGUUCCGACCCGCACGAAAGGCGUAACGAUUUGGGCA
rnacentral:rRNA from 1 species